rnacentral:piRNA from 1 species
UGCCAAAAUNCAGAGGUCGCCCUCUAUAUAGU